CGUAGGUGGCAAGCGUUGUCCGGAUUUAUUGGGUUUAAAGGGUGCGUAGGCGGCUUUGUAAGUCAGUGGUGAAAUACUCCAGCUCAACUGGAGAGGUGCCAUUGAUACUGCAGAGCUAGAGUACUGAUGAGGUAGGCGGAAUGGACGGUGUAGCGGUGAAAUGCUUAGAUAUCGUCCAGAACACCGAUAGCGAAGGCAGCUUACUAAAGAGUAACUGACGCUGAGGCACGAAAGUGUGGGGAUCAAACAGGAUUAGAUACCCUGGUAGUCCACACUGUAAACGUUGAUCACUAGAUGUUGGCGAUACACUGCCAGCGUUCCAGCAAAAGCGAUAAGUGAUCCACUGGGGAUACGCCGCAAGGGUG
rnacentral:rRNA from 1 species